AGUGAGGGCUCUAGGCUGAUCUGUGCAUGAGGGCUCUCUCGCCUUCAUUUUGAGCCUUUUGUGCUCACUUUGUGUAAGUCGGUGUUUCUGCAGACUUUACCUGAGGCAAUUCCCCACAGUUCAUUGAGUUGUGUCAUGAAACACGGGAUUACCUGGGGAGGCUGGAGGUGUAAAACACAUAAAUGCCAUAACACGGAGAGAACGAUAAAGACGACAAACGUUUCCUGAUUAACACGUUCCUGUCUGAAUAUUUAACCUGAAACUCUUUCUCAGGGUUUAGGCUUUAACAAACACCAUUUCCCAUGGUCCAACGGUGUAGCAGGCUAAAGUUCAGCAGCAGAGGGACCAAGGGACUGAACAUUUUUUUAUUUUCCAGCUUGAACCGGUGCGAUUUAAAGGGUCAGUUCACCCAA